GCAGGCGCGCAAAUUACCCACUCCCGGCACGGGGAGGUAGUGACGAAAAAUAACGAUACGGGACUCAUCCGAGGCCCCGUAAUCGGAAUGAGUACACUCUAAAUCCUUUACCAAGGAUCAAUUGGAGGGAAAGUCUGGUGCCAGCAGCCGCGGUAAUACCAGCUCCAAUAGCGUAUAUUAAAGUUGUUGCGGUUAAAAAGCUCGUAGUCGAAUCUGUGUCCCGCGCCGCUGGUUCAUCGCUCGCGGUGUCCAACUGGCGUGUUUCGCGGGACGNNCUGCCGGUGGGCUCUACGGAUUGUUCGCUUCGGCGUUCGUUCGUGGCCCAACUCGUAUUCGUCUUGUGCGGGUGCGAAUCCCAUCGCGGUGCUCUUUGUUGAGUGUCGAGGUGGGCCGGCACGUUUACUUUGAACAAAUUAGAGUGCUUAAAGCAGGCCAAUUUUGCCUGAAUAUUGUGUGCAUGGAAUAAUGGAAUAGGACCUCGGUUCUAUUUUGUUGGUUUUCGGAACCCCGAGGUAAUGAUUAAUAGGAACGGAUGGGGGCAUUCGUAUUGCGACGUUAGAGGUGAAAUUCUUGGAUCGUCGCAAGACGGACAGAAGCGAAAGCAUUUGCCAAAAACGCUUUCAUUGAUCAAGAACGAAAGUUAGAGGUUCGAAGGCGAUCAGAUACCGCCCUAGUUCUAACCAUAAACGAUGCCAGCUAGCGAUCCGCCGACGUUCCUCCGAUGACGCGGCGGGCAGCNNCCGGGAAACCAAAGCUUUUGGGUUCCGGGGGAAGUAUGGUUGCAAAGCUGAAACUUAAAGGAAUUGACGGAAGGGCACCACCAGGAGUGGAGCCUGCGGCUUAAUUUGACUCAACACGGGAAACCUCACCAGGCCCGGACACCGGAAGGAUUGACAGAUUGAGAGCUCUUUCUUGAUUCGGUGGGUGGUGGUGCA
rnacentral:rRNA from 1 species